rnacentral:rRNA from 1 species
UACGUAGGGGGCGAGCGUUGUCCGGAAUCAUUGGGCGUAAAGCGCGUGUAGGCGGAUCGUUAAGUACCUUGUGAAAUCCCACGGCUCAACCGUGGAACGGCUGGGUAUACUGGCGGUCUUGAGCCAGCUAGGGGCGACCGGAACAAAUGGUGGAGCGGUGAAAUGCGUAGAUAUCAUUUGGAACGCCAAUGGUGAAAACAGGUCGCUGGGGCUGUGCUGACGCUGAGACACGAAAGCCAGGGGAGCAAACGGG